AUACAGGGGAAGUCGGUGAUCCUAUGCUGCCAAGAAAAUCUUCUAGCGAGGUUCGAGCCGCCCGUACCCCAAACCGACUCAGGUGGUUAGGUAGAGAAUACCAAGGCGAUCGAGUGAAUCGUGGUUAAGGAAUUCGGCAAAAUACCCCCGUAACUUCGGGAGAAGGGGGGCCCAGAGGGUGACGGGACUUGCUCCCCGAGCCUGAACGGCCGCAGAGACCAGGGAGAAGCGACUGUUUACUAAAAACACAGGUCCGUGCCAAGUCGCAAGACGAUGUAUACGGACUGACGCCUGCCCGGUGCUGGAACGUUAAGGGGACCGGUUAGCCUCACGGCGAAGCUGAGAACUUAAGCGCCAGUAAACGGCGGUGGUAACUAUAACCAUCCUAAGGUAGCGAAAUUCCUUGUCGGGUAAGUUCCGACCUGCACGAAUGGCGUAACGAUUUCUCCACUGUCUCAACCACGAACUCGGCGAAAUUGCACUACGAGUAAAGAUGCUCGUUACGCGCAGAAGGACGGAAAGAUCCCGGGACCUUUACUACAGCUUGGUAUUGGUGUUCGGUACGGCUUGUGUAGGAUAGGUGGGAGACUGAGAAGCUGACACGCCAGUGUCGGUGGAGUCAACGUUGAAAUACCACUCUGGUCGUUCUGGAUAUCUAACCUAGGUCCGUGAUCCGGAUCAGGGACAGUGCCUGGUGGGUAGUUUAACUGGGGCGGUUGCCUCCUAAAAGGUAACGGAGGCGCCCAAAGGUUCCCUCAGCCUGGUUGGCAAUCAGGUUUUGAGUGUAAGUGCACAAGGGAGCUUGACUGUGAGACUGACAAGUCGAACAGGGACGAAAGUCGGGACUAGUGAUCCGGCGGUGGCUUGUGGAAGCGCCGUCGCUCAACGGAUAAAAGGUACCCCGGGGAUAACAGGCUGAUCUUGCCCAAGAGUCCAUAUCGACGGCAUGGUUUGGCACCUCGAUGUCGGCUCGUCGCAUCCUGGGGCUGGAGUAGGUCCCAAGGGUUGGGCUGUUCGCCCAUUAAAGCGGUACGCGAGCUGGGUUUAGAACGUCGUGAGACAGUUCGGUCCCUAUCCUCUGCGCGCGCAGGAAACUUGAGAAGGGCUGUCCCUAGUACGAGAGGACCGGGAUGGACGAACCUCUGGUGUGUCAGUUGUUCUGCCAAGAGCACCGCUGAUUAGCUACGUUCGGGAGUGAUAACCGCUGAAAGCAUCUAAGCGGGAAGCAUGCUUCAAGAUGAGGUUUCCAUGGGGUUUACCCCGAGAGGCUCCCAGCUAGACUACUGGGUUGAUAGGCCGGAUGUGGAAGUGCGGUAACGCAUGGAGCUGACCGGUACUAAUAAGCCGAUAACUU
rnacentral:rRNA from 1 species